rnacentral:rRNA from 1 species
GACGAACGCUGGCGGCGUGGAUUAGGCAUGCAAGUCGAACGGUAUCAUCCUUUCGGGGGUGAGAGAGUGGCGAACUGGUGAGUAACACGUAGGUUAUCUACCCUCAAGACGGGGACAACCCAGGGAAACUUGGGCUAAUACCGGAUGUGAGCAACUUUUAGUUGUUUGAAAGGUGGCGUAAGCUGUCGCUUGGGGAUGAGCCUGCGUCCUAUUAGUUAGUUGGUGAGGUAACGGCUCACCUAGGCAAUGAUAGGUAGGCGGCCUUAACGGGUGGUCGCCCACACUGGGAUUGAGAUACGGCCCAGACUCCUACGGGAGGCAGCAGUCGAGAAUAGUCUACAAUGGUCGGAAGACUGAUAGUGCGACGCCGCGUGAACGAUGAAUCCCUUCGGGGUGUAAAGUUCUUUUAUAUGUGAGCAGUGCUUCUUAUAUUAACAGUAUGGGGAGUAGAGAUAUUAGCAUAUGAAUAAGCAACGGCUAACUCCGUGCCAGCAGCCGCGGUAACUCG